rnacentral:rRNA from 1 species
ACUGGAUCCUUUGGGGUUACAGCCUUGCUGAAUUAUUCACCCGUGUCUUUUGCGUACUUCUUGUUUCCUUGGUGGGUUCGCCCACCAUAGGACAAACCAUUAAACCUUUUGUAAUUGCAAUCAGCGUCAGUAAAAAAAUUAAUAAUUACAACUUUUAACAACGGAUCUCUUGGUUCUGGCAUCGAUGAAGAACGCAGCGAAAUGCGAUAAGUAGUGUGAAUUGCAGAAUUCAGUGAAUCAUCGAAUCUUUGAACGCACAUUGCGCCCUUUGGUAUUCCAAAGGGCAUGCCUGUUCGAGCGUCAUUUGUACCCUCAAGCUUUGCUUGGUGUUGGGCGUCUUGUCUCCAGUUCGCUGGAGACUCGCCUUAAAGUAAUUGGCAGCCGGCCUACUGGUUUCGGAGCGCAGCACAAGUCGCGCUCUCUUCCAGCGAAGGUCAGCAUCCACAAAGCCUUUUUUCAACUUUUGACCUCGGAUCAGGUAGGGAUACCCGCUGAACUUAAGCAUAUCAAUAAGCGGAGGGA